rnacentral:tRNA from 1 species
CAGGGGGUAGUUUAAUGAAAAUGCCAGCUUUGGGAGUUGGUGACGAAGGUUUGAUUCCUUUCCCCUUGA